UCGUGGUUAGCUCAGUCGGUAGUGUGUUCCACUGGAAGUGAAGAGGUCCCUGGUUCGAUACCAGGACCAGGCG
rnacentral:tRNA from 1 species